UACGUAGGGUGCAGGCGUUAUUCGGAAUUACUGGGCGUAAAGCGUUCGCAGGCGGUUUCUUAAGUCAGAUGUGAAAGCCCCGGGCUUAACCUGGGAACUGCGUUUGAAACUGGGAGACUUGAGUGUGGCAGAGGGGGGUGGAAUUCCACGUGUAGCAGUGAAAUGCGUAGAUAUGUGGAGGAACACCGAUGGCGAAGGCAGCCCCCUGGGUUAACACUGACGCUCAUGCACGAAAGCGUGGGGAGCAAACAGG
rnacentral:rRNA from 1 species